GCAUAUCAAUAAGCGGAGGAAAAGAAACCAACAGGGAUUGCCCUAGUAACGGCGAGUGAAGCGGCAACAGCUCAAAUUUGAAAUCUGGCUCUCGGGCCCGAGUUGUAAUUUGUAGAGGAUACUUUUGAUGCGGUGCCUUCCGAGUUCCCUGGAACGGGACGCCAUAGAGGGUGAGAGCCCCGUCUGGUUGGAUGCCAAAUCUCUGUAAAGUUCCUUCAACGAGUCGAGUAGUUUGGGAAUGCUGCUCUAAAUGGGAGGUAUAUGUCUUCUAAAGCUAAAUACCGGCCAGAGACCGAUAGCGCACAAGUAGAGUGAUCGAAAGAUGAAAAGCACUUUGAAAAGAGAGUUAAAAAGUACGUGAAAUUGUUGAAAGGGAAGCGUUUAUGACCAGACUUGGGCUUGGUUAAUCAUCUGGGGUUCUCCCCAGUGCACUUUUCCAGUCCAGGCCAGCAUCAGUUUUCCCCGGGGGAUAAAGGCGGCGGGAAUGUGGCUCUCUUCGGGGAGUGUUAUAGCCCACCGUGUAAUACCCUGGGGGGGACUGAGGUUCGCGCAUCUGCAAGGAUGCUGGCGUAAUGGUCAUCAACGACCCGUCUUGAAACACGGACCAAGGAGUCGUCUUCGUAUGCGAGUGUUCGGGUGUCAAACCCCUACGCGUAAUGAAAGUGAACGCAGGUGAGAGCUUCGGCGCAUCAUCGACCGAUCCUGAUGUUCUCGGAUGGAUUUGAGUAAGAGCAUACGGGGCCGGACCCGAAAGAAGGUGAACUAUGCCUGUAUAGGGUGAAGCCAGAGGAAACUCUGGUGGAGGCUCGCAGCGGUUCUGACGUGCAAAUCGAUCGUCAAAUAUGGGCAUGGGGGGCGAAAGACUAAUCGAACCUUCUAGUAGCUGGGUUUCCGCCGAAG
rnacentral:rRNA from 1 species